rnacentral:rRNA from 1 species
AGGAUGAACGCUGGCGGCGUGCUUAACACAUGCAAGUCGAACGUGAGAAUAGCAAUAUUUGAAAGUGGCAAACGGGUGAGUAACACGUGGGAACCUGCCCUGGAGUGGGGGAUAACGACUGGAAACGGUCGCUAAUACCGCACGGUUCUGCUCAAAUGGGAAUUGAGCAGAUAAAGAUUUAUCGCUCGUGGGAGGGCCCGCGGCCGAUUAGCUAGUUGGUGAGGUAACGGCUAC